rnacentral:rRNA from 1 species
AUUGAACGCUGGCGGCAUGCCUUACACAUGCAAGUCGAACGGUAACGGGCCUUCGGGUGCCGACGAGUGGCGAACGGGUGCGUAAUACAUCGGAACGUGCCCGAUCGUGGGGGAUAACGAGGCGAAAGCUUUGCUAAUACCGCAUACGAUCUACGGAUGAAAGCAGGGGACCGCAAGGCCUUGCGCGGACGGAGCGGCCGAUGGCCGAUUAGGUAGUUGGUGGGAUAAAAGCUUACCAAGCCGACGAUCUGUAGCUGGUCUGAGAGGAUGAUCAGCCACACUGGGACUGAGACACGGCCCAGACUCCUACGGGAGGCAGCAGUGGGGAAUUUUGGACAAUGGGCGCAAGCCUGAUCCAGCCAUGCCGCGUGCAGGAUGAAGGCCUUCGGGUUGUAAACUGCUUUUGUACGGAACGAAAAGCCUUCUUUUAAUACAGGAGGGUCAUGACGGUACCGUAAGAAUAAGCACCGGCUAACUACGUG